UACAGAGGUGUCAAACGUUGUCCGGAAUUACUGGGCGUAAAGGGCGCGUAGGCGGCCUUAUAAGUCAUUUGUGAAAGCUCUGGGCUCAACCCAGGAAUUGCAAGUGAUACUGUAAGGCUUGAGUUCGGUAGAGGAGGGCGGAAUUCCAGGUGUAGCGGUGAAAUGCGUAGAUAUCUGGAGGAACACCCGUGGCGAAGGCGGCUCUCUGGUCCGAAA
rnacentral:rRNA from 1 species